rnacentral:rRNA from 1 species
UACAGAGGUCUCAAGCGUUGUUCGGAUUCAUUGGGCGUAAAGGGUGCGUAGGCGGCGCGGUAAGUCGGGUGUGAAAUCUCGGAGCUUAACUCCGAAACUGCAUUCGAUACUGCCGUGCUUGAGGACUGGAGAGGAGACUGGAAUUUACGGUGUAGCGGUGAAAUGCGUAGAUAUCGUAAGGAAGACCAGUGGCGAAGGCGGGUCUCUGGGACGGUACUGACGCUGAGGCGCGAAAGCGUGGGGAGCGAAAAGG